rnacentral:tRNA from 1 species
GAGAGAGGUUAUGAUGCAAUUAAGGCCGCUACCCUUAGACUUCGUCGGUUGAACUCCGGUGCUCUCUUG